CAGAAACACAAGAACAAGAUUCAGUAACACGUCAUUUUUGUUUUGAAGUACAGUUCUGUGAAGCAUUUGCUCAUCUUGCAUCAUCAAACAAUUUGGCUCACCAAUUGACUGAAGAAAAAUAAUUAGAAUUUAAAAAGAAGUAAACUAAAAGAUCUCAAAAAGCAGCACAUUACGCCCUGAUCUAAAGAAUUAAAACAGAUUGCACAGAGGUACAAUACCAUUUGAAGGCUUUGGGACUGUAGAGAAACACAGUAAGAGUCAUUAUCUACAAAUAUAGAAAACAUAAAGCAGUAGUGGUACUCCUCAGGAGUAAUUUUACCAACAUUUUACCAAAACUACUCAAAGGGCACAUUGAUGAUUCAUCCAGGAGGUGACAAAAGAACCCAGUAAAAAGCACUGCAGAUAUAUGUCAUGUUUUAUUUGGGUUUUUCUAAUUAGAGUCCUCUGAUUUAGGAUUUUAGUUGUGAAGACAACCCUGUGCGACCUUCAGCAGCACAACAAUGCAAAAAAUAAUGAUUUGGAGUGGCCUAGUCAAAGUAUGGACUUAAAUAUGACUGAGGAGUUGUGGCGUAACCUUCAGAGCUGUCUUUGCUUGAAGAUCUUCAAAGUGGCUAAAUUAGAAAGCCAGGAGAAGUGGGCCAAAAAUCCUGCACUGGCAGUUCUUACAAAUGGCUGAUGGGAGUUAUUACUGCCAAAGGUGGCACAACCAGUUACUAUUUUAAAGGAGCAAUUACUUUUUCACUUAGAGUCUUUUUGGAUUGGAUAGAUUUUCCUCUAAAAAAUUAAAUUGCCAUAUCAAUGCGAGGAUGAGAGGUGUCCUUGGCGACCCAGUGUGUUGGUCUGAAGGCUGUCCUCUUGUAGUUUUGUGUAUUUGUGUUUCAGGAAAUGUUUGAAUUUGAUGAUCUGAUUAUAUAAACACACAUAAAAAACCUGAGCAAAUCUACAAGGGGCAAAUACUUUUUCACAGCAUUAUAGUCUAAUAUCAUACCUCAUCUUUUCUAAAGCUUUCAGGUGACAUGUGGAAGCUGAAGCAGUUUGCUCUGACAAUGUUGCAUCAGUUUGCAAAAGAGUUUUUGUAAUCGCACAUUUUCUCUGCAACUCAGAACAAUAAGAGAAACAAAAUCAAUCAGACGGAGAAAAGGUUUGAAACGUACAAUCAGGAAUAGCGGCUGUUUGAAAAGAAAUUUUGCCGUCAAAAUCCAUUUAGACAGGCAGAAAAAUAGGACACAAAUGGUGACGGCUGUAAAAGUUAAGUGACUGUAAUUUAAGAAAAUGGCAUUGGAUUAAAGACAGGGAAAAUGAUGUUCUGCUGUAAUCUUCCAUGUUAUUCUCAACCAGAGGUGAUGAAAUCAUCCAACAGGUACAUCAAUAUUUCAUGGGAGUACUUCACAUGAGAUAGUCAGAAUAUGGCCUUAUUCAUUAUGAAACAUGUAAAUUAAACCCCAAGGAUCAUCAGUCUUCUGUAUUUAAGAUCUUAAUGGGGACAGGAGUGUAAGUGUUUGCUGCUGAGGCACACACACACACACACACACACACACACACACACACACACACACACACACACACACACACACACGCCCACACACCAGAGUUACAUCAGCUUCUGGCAGGCUGUCGUAUCAGGAACAACUUAGUAUUCAUAUUACAGAAUUAUCAUUUUAACAGAUCGUAGAUGUUUGGCAGCAAUCAAAUCAGUAAUUGACUUAGUUUUAAAAAUGAAUGUGCCUUUCUCAACCGUGUCUCAACACCAGAUUUUAAUAAGAGGAACCAAAGCAGAAUAUGACAUGAUCUAGAUUAUUACUCUUUCAAACAAGGUUACAUGUUUUUAUUGUAAUAGAUUUGAUGUGCUGGCUUUUUAAUUAGUUUUUUUUUUUAAAGUUGUUCCAAAUUACACACACGUCUGUUAUAAGACAAAUAAUUAUCUGAUUAAGGAGACAUGAGAAUCAUCAUUCCUUUUUGAUAGGAGCGCUGCAGAUUUGGAUGUUCUCACCUCAGCUGUUGCACACUUUAAGGCAUCGGAUUAGUAUGCAGAUUUAUGUAAAAAAUUUAUGAAGAACCUUGGUGAUGGAGGGCUCAAUUAACCUUUCUGUUGCAAACUCAUGAUUCUUAAUAUGUUCACAGACAUAAAGAAUCUGCACUGUUUUAUGUAAUAUUUUUGACAAUUUAUUCUAUUUUAUCGAUGCAUAUGAUAUUUUUUCAUCAUGUGUAUCUUCUUAUAUCUUAUUCCCAGCCACACAGCUAUUCAAUCCUACCAAGGAAGAGACCUUGUUAAGAAACAUUUCCAAACUGCAUAACUUACAUGGCCUGUAAAUGUCUUUGAGGCUCAGUUGUAAGAUCAGUACAUUUUAUUAUAGCAGCUCAGCUACAGUAAAUAUCUUACAUUUUGGGACCAUAUUCUACCAUAGGAGGAUUUCUGAUCUGAGAUGGUUUUUGUUUAUUAUUAAUAUGAUUACUCAAACUAGCCGAGUGAGGAAGCAGGACUGUGAAACAGGCUGUGAGCCAGAAGUUAGGCAGCAUUUCUCCAGCAAAGGUUUAGCAAAAUCAAGUUCCCUUCUGCUUAUUACUGCUGAUAAUCAACACUUCUCAAAAAAUGUCAUGGACUUUGAUAUUCAACACUUAACUAACUCAAUACAGCUUCAAGUAGGCAUGCAGCAUCUACAUCUACAGGUAAUAAAACGGUUUUGUUUUUGUUUUUGAUUAUUUCCACAGCAAUACUUCAGAUGCAAUCAUGCUGAUUAUUGUAUCCCUUCACUAUUCAAGGUUUUGCUCUCCUAGCUAUCUUUUCACAUUAAGCUUUGAUACAUAUGACAAGGAACUGUUCUCAACUAGAUUUUUAUACUACUGAUCUUCAUUUAAUCGAUUCACCAGGCUGGUGUUUUCAGUUAAACAGUUAAACUAAAGUAAAUUUUUAUAACCUUUUGUAAGAAAAUGUGGCUACAGUAAGUAGUAUUUACCAGCAGGACGUCACUUAGAGUGGUUUUAGUUUGAGCAGGGUUUAUAAUCUGCUAUAAAAGUCAACUGGCUCACCUGGGGCUAAGAAGAACAGUUCAUGGAAACAGGGAGUAAUAUAAUUUCUUUUCAGAAAAAAACACCAUCAAAUCACAUUAGCGUUUGUAUUUUUGUGUUAAUUUACCCCAUAAUUUACCAGAAAUACCUAAAUACCAAGUAAAGCAAAACGUAGCGCAAUGGUUUAAGCACAUUUGCACAAAAUAAAAUUAGCAGAGCACAAAAUGUCAAUAUGUGGUUAUAAAGUGGGGUGACAUGAGGGACAAAUUAACUUUAAAGAUGUACGAGAGGCUUGCAUGUAAUGUCCUCGGUUAAGCUCAAAGAGGUAAUGGACGUAGCAGAGACUACCACCACCCAUCUGUCAGUACAACAGUUGGUUACCAUGGAUACUUAUUACACACUGGUGAGUCGGCAUUAUUGCUGACGAUUGGAGUUGCACUGAUAUUUUGGCAGGUCUCUUUGCUGCCAGGUGUCAGGCUUUCAUCUUACAGGAGCUGCCUGCUCUGAAGACUCUGCUGCUUUGAUAACUUCAAGUUAACAACACAAUUCACUAUAUUUUACUUAUUUUUUUAUUGUCAUUUCAGAAUAUUUGAGUACAUUGUGGGAGUUUGUGUUUAACUUUCACGUUUAACUCCUUAUUAUGAAAGCUAGAGUUUACAAUAACCUGAUGAUAUGCUAUUCUUGUGCCUGUUUUUAUAUAUUUAAUAUUUUUGUGUGAAUCUGCUUUGAUUUGCUGCUACUUUGGUGUUGUUGCACUUGAAUUUCCUCUCUAUGGGAAAAUAAAGGAUAUUUCUAUUUCAAUUCUAUUCUAUUAAAUAUAAACAAAUCUUCUUGUUUGGAAAUAUUUAACAACCAUUUCCAAACAAACCAGAUAAUUUUGCAAAGCUGGUUUUCUUUCCCUUGUAUCUACAAGGAAACAGAGAUUUUGACAAAAGAAAAAGAGGGAUUUUAAAAAUUGAUCUCCAGGGUGGUUAUGUUCAAAAACAGCUUUGUGGUAUACAUGUGUCUGGACUGGAUAUCUAGAUAUUUUUUUAAUAAAAGGAAUAAGAUAGAGGCCAAGUUUUGUAAAUGCCUUUUUUCACUUACUGUGCUGAAAACUCUGAAGUCCAUCUUUUUCACGUUGUUCUGCGUUCAUUAAACUUUAAAUGUAGCAAAAGAAAUUAAUGACUUAGAGGAAAUGAGUUACCAGUGUUAAAGAAAACAUGAGCCAGAAUUGCUUUGGGAGAAUCUAUAACCUAACACUGCUUUAGCUAUGCUCACAGACUUCUUAUUUUGAGUAAUGCAAAUAUUAGCAUUACCACCACUUAGAACAGGCAUUACCGAAUCUUCUGUUUGGAAAGAUUCUAAUAAAAUCAUUCAGCAAUAUCUGGGCUUUAAAAUCCCACAGACAAAAUUGGAAGUACUCCAGUUUGAGACUCAGUUUGAUGUUAAGAUGUGUUUUGUUUCAACCACUUCAUAAUAUUGCAGAUGUUCAGAAGCAUGCCAUAUCGCCCCACUGAAUCUGUUCUAUGAAAAAUAUGUUGAUGUACAUACUGUAUGAAAAUUAUGCAGUAAAACUUAGAGGAUAAUUAAGUUGCAGAUUUUUAUUUUUUUCUGCCGCAUGCAAAGGAUAAAAUGCCGGCAUUUGAAACCAAAUUUUCAUUGCAAUUACCUGAAACCAGCUGAAUUAAUUUUGAAAGCCUUUUCACCUGCCUGGAAUAUUUGUGCAAUCUUUAACAUCAUUUCCAUACUUCUGAAGCUGCAAAAUGCCAUGUGUUUCAUAAACAUUCAUUUGCACUGCAACAAGAGCCAUUCGUUUAAUUUCUGUGAUUGGGUUUUGUAAGUAGUUAAAAAAGUUAUUACUAAAGGAUUUUAUAACCUCUCCUGACAUUUCCAGACUCAGCUCAUCCUGCCAGCUGGUGUGCAGAAACUCCGCAUGUGUGCAGUUUAUGUAGCUAAUUGGAAGAAACAGAAACACUUUAAAGCUUUGUCAGUUGUUUGCUGAUGUUUGAGGAAAGAAUGAAGAAAGUCCUUCUGUCAAAGCAGAAAACUACUAAAACAUAGCCUGUCAUCAGAUAUUUUUAAGAAAAUAAAUAAAAUAAUAGUGGGAGUUGCGCUUGCUGUAUAUAAGUGAGUUUAUAAAGUGAGCUGUAACAGUAACUGGGUGCAAUUUCAUCCUCCUGGGACUCAUCAUACCCCUCCAUCAUCCAUUCACUUUAAUCGCAGUUCAUUCAUCCUUUUACAUGCAACCUGCUCAAUAAUGGAUUCAUCAUUUAAUUUUGAUAUGCUCCCAUUUUUACUGCUUGUCCUGGAAAGCUUGUAGUGUUUACAGCCUUUUCAGAAAAGCAAAAUCAUGUACUGAUUAGUGCUAGUAAAGUGUUGCCUUGUGGCUUGAAUUGUUCAUAAAAGUAGAGUAAAGUAGAUGUGUAUGACUCAGCAACCCAUUCUCACGGCUACCUUUAUACCACUGUGCAAUCUUUUUAGGUUUGGAUAAAUGCAGAAUAUUUCUGCUUUAGGGGCAAUUAGUACUCUGCAGACUCCUCCAGCUCAAACUUAGAAAAGCUCAGAUAGUCAACAACAGGACUUUGCCUAGUUAAAGGAAAAUAUGUGGAAGUAAUGCUCAGGUGGUCAUUCAGUGAAAGUUGCUUUCAGUAUUAACCUCAACUAAAGGUUAAGAUGUAUAUUACUUACAUUAAUGGAGAGGUCUAAGUUUCUAUUGUAGAUACACCUCAACUGUGAGAGACUGAAUCAAAAAACAAACAAAUAAAACUUUGCAUUUUAUUGCAUGAAAUAAGCAUUUGAUACAAAUUAAAAAUACAACUUAAUAUUUGGUACAGAAACAUUAAUUUAAAUUCCGGGUACCAGACGUUCCUGGAACUUAAAUUAAAUAGUUCUCAACCAGGUUUUCACUCACUGCAGCAGGGAUUUUGGCCCUCUCCUCCACAUAGAUUUUCUCCAGAUCUGUCGGAUUUCAGACCCGGAGAUGGUCCAUCUUCAGUGCUGACUUUGUUACCCAAAAUCUUGCGAGCAUUUUGGGAUAAUCCAUGACGGCAUGAUGUGUUUGUAGCCUUUGCAGCUGGUUCCAGUUCUCUUCAGGUUAUUGAUUCGGCCCACUCGGGAUCCCUCUCUUUUCUCAUAAUCACUGAUGCUCCAUGAAGCGACAUAAUGCAUGUAGCGCCAGUCUGAGCGAGAUUGACUGUCUUCCAUAAUUGCACCAGCAAUUGUUGCCUUCUCACCAAGCUGUUUAUUGUCCUGCAGCUCAUCCCAGCUGUGUGCAGGUUUCCAUUUCAGUCCCUGGUGUCCAGAGACAACUCUUUGAUCUUGUCCGUGCGGGAGACGUUGGAGUCUCAUUGAAUGUUUGGACAGGUGUAAACAGGUGCAAUUAAUGCAGGUACUGAGAGGAGUACAGGAGGGUUUCUUAAAGAUGAAAUAGCAUAAAUAACAAUAUCUGUGAGAGCCCAAGUUCUUGCUGGUUGCUAUGUGACCAAAUACAUAUUUAAAGCAAUGCAAUGCUAACUAAUGAUUUACAAAUCAUACAAUUUGAUUUUCUGGAAUUUUCUUUUAGAUUUUGUCUCUCACAGUUCAGGUGUACCUACGAUGAAAAUUACAUGACUCUACUCUUUGUAAACGGUAAACUAGAAACAUUAGCAGUGUGUCAAAUAUUUAUUUAUCCCACUGUAUGAACCCACUUCUGUAAAACACCCAACAAUAACCUGAACUACAGCUAAGGGGUCUCCAACCUGUGGCUCCAGGGCCACAUGUGGCUCAGCAUAAUUUCCAAAGUGGCUCCUAAUAACAUCGACCCAGAAUAAUAUGCAGUUGAUCAGCGUUUUUAAAUUAAAAGAUAAUUAAAAGAAUAGAUUUUGCAGUUUUCUCGUCAUGCAGGUUCUGCCUAUAAUCAAAAUUACCCUGUUGAUCCAAUUAAUACUUUUAUUUUUUAAAAUUGUCAUUACAUCCCAAACUGUGCUUUUUUUCUCUAUUUGUGAAAACAUUUUUAGUUCUAGAAAGCUUCUUUUGGGUUUUUCACCAUUGCUCUAACAGUGUAUUUGCUCUGUAGAGGGAUACUUUAAAAGCCAGUUGUUUUAGAUUGCUGGUACUAAAUUAUAUAUUUUGUCUUUCUUCAAGUUCUGUUUUGUUUUUCUCUCUUCUUAAGAUCAAUAAUAAAAGAUCAACAUUUUUCCUUUUCAUGUUUUAUCUUGUUUUUGAUUUUUCAAGUUUUUUUUUUAAAAGCUGGUUAACAUUCCUCAUGCAGUCGAAUGUGUUUGAUUCCUCGAAACAUGUCCACUUUUAAAUUGAUCCCACUGAGAUCAAUUUAAUAAUAAU